CCCCUCUUCCAGGCUGUGCACCCCGGGUCCUCUGUUGAGGGAUGACUGUGCUAUGUCACAGGUCCCAUAAUUCUUUAUUAUGCCUGCUUUUAUGACCUGGGAGACUUUGGUGCCGAGUUGCUGUUAAUCCACACCACGGCCAUUUAUCACCAGCAGGACAAAUGGCGUCUGGGGUAAUUAGAAGGAUGCGUGACCCUCACUCCGCCGCUCAUCUUUAAUCAUUUGAGACAGGUGCAUCAGUUUGGAGCUAAAGGCAGAACUCUCUUCCCUCCUGAGAAGGAAGAAGGGGACAGGGAGCCUCAAAGGAAUUUCAGAGAUGAAUCUGCAAUCGCCGUCGCCUUUCCUCCGGCACUCCAAGAGAAAUGGUGCACAAUACUCCACUGUGGAGAUACUCUGGAAUAGAUACAACCAGUCCCCUUUGGAUGGACAUCGAGAUGGUAGUGCUCUCCCAAACAAUGCAGCAGUGAACAACCUUGUGCAGAUGUCAGCUCUUACCUCCCCAGAAGUGCAAGCGCUGGGUCACUGCUGCUCUCUCAAUUGAGGGGCGCCUGCUGCAGCGGGAGGAGCUCAGCUUUGCAGUCAGACUGACCUGGGUUUGAAUCCUGGCUCCACCACUCUCUAGCCAUGUGACCCAGGCAAGGUCUGUCAUCCUCUGCACGUGGAGGUAGAUGCAGGACCUGCUCCUAGGACUGCUGAGGUUACGAGUGUGUAUGCUUAGCACAGAGCUGUUCCGGGUUUACUGGUGUCAGUGUAACAAGAUGUCGGAAUAGACCCUUCCCACCGCAACGUCCAUUGCACUUCCUGAAGUAACAAAGCUGCGAGUGCAGGUUUUCAAAGGAAAGCUUUAAGAACCUGCUCCACCACUCUGGACCCACUCACCCAGUCAAGAAAUAAAAGCCCAGUAGGAAGAGGAGAGAGGUAGCCCUCUGGCCAGCUGCAUAGCUGGAGCAGCCUCCACAUCACCCACACUGCCAAGGGUGCCCCAAACCAAAGGUUUCCUGGGAGCUUCCUGAUUUCAAAGAUGGGUCCCACUGUUAACCCCAGGCCCUGUGUUGGUUGGAAAACAUGGUCAGUGCAUUCAAAGCUCUCUCAGGGCAGGAAACCCAGAUCUGCAUGGGAGUAGGGGAAGGGCAGCUUUCCUUCUGCUGCCCGCUGAUCUAGAACCUGCGGCCCAGAUGGGGGUCAGUCUGGCCCCUGUCAAGCACAGGAUGGAGCAGUGUGAGAUCUGGAGUGUUGGACCAGGCAGAUCUGGUUCUGGGACUGCAUCCUGGCUCACUGAUGGUGUGACUUUGGACAGGUCACAUGGUCUCUGUGAGCCUGGGGUUCCUCACCUGUAAGACAGAGGCCACACUACCUUGUUUCCCAGGCUUUACAUGCAUCAUCUCACUGAAUCCUCACAGCGACCCUGGGAGACUGGUGUCUUCAGUAGCCCCAUUUUGCAGAUGAGAAAACUGAGGCUGAGACCCACUCAAGGUACAAGGCUAAUAAAUGGCAGAUGCAGAAAUCCAACCCAGCUUUGUCUGACUCCCAAACCUGUGGUCCAUUCUGCCACAAGCCCACCCACCAGCCCAAGGUUCAUUCAUCAUAAAAGCAGAGCACUCAGCAGCAGCAGGACGGUCAGUGGUGCGCAGUGGGGUCGGGAGAAGUCCCCCUGCCACCCGGUUGGGAGCUGCCGGCCAUCCCUGACAAUGGGGGUGUCAAACAUUCAGAGUCCAUCCCCACCCCCAGGCUGGCUGGGGCUGCUGGGGAGAGAAGAGAGAUACAGCUGGCAAAACACAUUAGCCUCUUCUUCUCUGCUAAUUAGUUUUGUGAAAAUUUAUUUAUUUAUCUAUUUAUUUUCAUGGAGACAACUGGGGCUGCGGAAAUGUGGUGACAUGUUUUACAUGAAAAGGAAAGAAAAAGAAGUUGCCACUCACUGUGCGGUUUAAAUCAUCUACCACGGGGGUAAGGAGCAGGAAUCUUAAAGGCUCAAAUACAAGGGCACGACUCGGGGAACCAGCAACGAGCCCCGGACACUGCUGGACACCAGUGGGGCGCUGGACUCAGUGCAAAAGCCUUGGAGAAUGAGCGGGAGCAAGGUUGGGUUCUUGCACUCCAGGGGUUUGGAAAGAGAUGCUCACAGCCCAGGUUGGCGUCUGCUGUGGUUCAAGGCCAUUUCCCUGAGCAAGGUCACGCUGCCAGGAUGCACUUCCUCACCUGCCUGCUGAGGAAGCACCUGCCCUCCUCCCAAGCACCAAUCAAGCAGCAUCUCCUCCAGGAGAACGUGCCAGGCUCUAGGAGUGGAAUGCAGCCCUCCCCCCGGUGCCCCUUCCGGUCCCUUUAUGUGCCACUGUAGCACUUGAAAAUGCAUCUCGGUGGUUUCCAGGUUUUUUUCCUUCCUAAGCAUCCUGGUGACUCUUUCUUAUUUCCUUUUUAUGAUCACAUAUCAUUCCGUUAUGUAGAGGCAUCAUAAUUUAUUUGAGUCCCUGUUGAUGGGCACUUAGGUUGUUCCCAAUCCUUUGCUAAUACAAAUAACACCUCAAUUAUAAUCGUGAAUAGAUGCCAUUCGCACGUGUGCAAUUCUGAUAGUAGAAUCACUGGGUCAAGGGAAAAGGCAUUUGUAAUUUUGAAAGAUAUUGCCAAGUUGCUUCUCACUAGAAUCCAACAUCCAUGUCUAAGAAUGCCUGUUUCCUCUCCUGCCCUCCAGCACUGGGUGUUAUCAAUCUUCUAUAUCUUUGCCCAUCUCAUAGGUAAAAUACGGUAUCUCAAGGUAGUUGUAAUUCUCCUAUUAUGAGAGAAGUUAAAAAUCUUUUCAUAUAUUUAAGAACUAUUAGUGUCUCCUUUCCAGUGAACUCCCUGGCCAAAACCUUUGUGUAGAUUAUGACUGGCUUGUGGAUUAUUUUCUUAUUGCUGGGAAGCAGUUCUAGAUGAUGAAGAAUUUGCACUCCUGCCUUUUGAUCAGAGCCUGGAAUGACUGCGUCGUUAGUCUUGCAAUCAGUUUUCUGCCCUGCCAGGGUUGUCCUUCUCCAAAUGUUAAGACAUAAAAUUAAACAAGCAGAUAAAAUGGUCUGUGGAAUCAGGUGAUCAUGCAGAUUUCUAAGAUUCAGAGGAAAGGAGCACAUCCGGGUGCCAUCCCCAAACGUGGAGAUGAGACGCCCAGCCCCUUCCGCUGGGCGUGGAGUUGGGGUGGCCCUUGCAGGGAUUCAUGUGGUUUGUGCUGACUUAUCUCUGCAGAGGCCGUUUGUGUUCGUGGGCUCUGUCCAUAUCUACGAAGUGAAGCCAUAAUAUUCGCCUGCCUUACCCACCUCUGCUAAGUUUGUUUUCUCAUCCCAAUCCACUUGGAAGGUGGUUGACUGUUAAAAUGGAGAAAGAUGAAGAAAUCAAGGGUAUGUGCUUGGGAAUAAAAGAGUGAUGUGUUGGGCAAUGUUCUGAGCUCUUUGAGUCUAUCAUCUCGUUGAGGCCUCCUAGCAACCCCAUCAUUCCCAUUUUACAGACAAAGAAACUGAGGAGCGAAGAGAUCAAGUAUCUUGCAUAGGGCCCCGCAGCUCACACGCAGGGAAGCAGGAUCUAGUCUCAGGAGAGCGAAUGACUAUUCGAGCGAUGGCAAAUGGAGUUCAUCAUGUCUGCAAACCCUGAUUGCUCAGUGGUGGCUGCCUGGAGCACCGGGUUGAAAAAGAUCCAGGCGCAGCAGCUGGUCAUUGACUACUGAUGUCUGCCGUUCCCAACAGGGUAGUGGCAGCAGACAUGGCUCAUGUUUGCUGUCUCUGGACUAUUCCGUUAAAAUGUUUAGAUCUUAGAUCAUGUGCCCCACCUUACCUGGGAACCCGAUCUCCUUGGCUUCUAACCUUAACUCCCAGCCCUCUGGCUCGUCUCUCCAGCACCCAAACUCACUGCCUUUUCUCCCUGCACUCUCUAAAACGCAGCCUGUCCUUCACUCCUGUCUACCCCUCGCCCAACCAUGACUACCCCAGCUUCCCAUGGGAAAUUGCCCACAGUCACUCCAGACCUCACUGACCUUCCUUUUCUUGCAGCUUCUUGUUGCAGUGAUGUGGGAUGUGGCAUUCGUGGAUGCAGGCUCCUCAAGGUGGGGGGCAGGUGGGGAGAACACACCCUUGGUCUCUGUCUCCCAAAGACACCAGCACAGAGCCUGGUACAAGUGAAUACACAAUAACUACUUGUGAAAUAUCCGAAGGAAACAAAGAAUGAUGGUCUUCUUUAGAUGCUUUUUGUACAUCUUGCCAACUCUUUGAGAGCAAGGAUGGUGUCAUCUACUUCUUUAGGGCUCCCCAUAGCACUACUGUGAUACACAAGAAUAAUUUCUUAAACUCUGUGGGGACAGAUACUGAGGUAAUAAAAUCUCCUUCACAGGGUAGUUAUUGAGGAAUCUGAAUGAGACAGAGGAUAGUAAGUGCAUGUAGCAGCACUCAAUAAAUAUUUCUUACAAAUAGUAAUAAUAACAAUAAUACCACUUACUGAUUUAGGUGUUUUGACUGUACAGAAGCUAUUUAUUUCAUGUAUUAUUCAAUGCUUCUUUUUCACUGCCAAUAUUAAUAUAUAACUUAUAUCAGUUAGCUUUGCCUGUGUAACAAACAAGCCCAAAACUGAGUGGUUUAAAACAAUGAUUUAUACACCUUAAAUGGGGUAAGCUUUAUGGUAUAUCAUUUAUAAGUUGAUAAAAUCAUUCUUAAAAAACACAACUGCAACAAAGAGAGCUUGCUUUUUGCUUAACAAAUUAGCAAAGCUUAAAAAAAAAAGAAAGAUUAUGUUCACUGUUGGUAAAGUUGCUGGGGAAAAGGCCAUUGUGGUAAAGUCUUUUUAUAAAGAAAGAAUUCUCAAGGAGGGUGCCACAGACUCCUAAGACUCCCUGGGACUUUUUUCAGGGUAUCCAGGGGAGAAAAACCAUUCUCAUAAUAAAACUAAGAUAUUAUUUGACUUUUCACUCUCAUUCUCUCACUAGUGUCCGUGGAAUUUUCUAGAGAUUCCAUAAUGUGUGACAUGACAACAGAUUGAAGCAGAAGCACAUAUGAGAAUCUUGCAUCUUCUAUUAAGCCAGAGAUUAAUGAGAUUUGCAAAAAUGUAAAUCAAUGACCCUCUUUUCACUAAAUAGUUUUCAUUUUGGAAAAUACUUAAUUUUUCAUAAAAAUU